rnacentral:tRNA from 1 species
AGAAAGGUAAGCUAAGUUGAAGCUAAUAGGUUCAUACCCUAUUUAUAGAUUUAAAAUCUCCUCUCUA